GUGUGUAGUAGCCCAUAUCACCCUCCAUCCUCCGUUGCACAUCUCAAAAUAUGAGAUAUAUUUUUUCUGAAUUUUUUGGGAUAGAGAAAAAAUUGGCAAAAGAAGGAUGUCUUGCAUGCAUGUGCAGAUGCGUCGCAUCUGUCCGUGUUUUGAAGAGUCCUCCUAAUCAAAUACUUUCAAAUUGGAAUAAUUUUUUAUGAUAAUGUUCACAUUUGAUAAGCU
rnacentral:lncRNA from 1 species